UACGGAGGGUGCGAGCGUUGUCCGGAAUCACUGGGCGUAAAGGGCGCGUAGGCGGCCGAGCAAGGUCGCGGUGAAAGCCCGGGGCUCAACCCCGGGUCGGCCGUGGCAACUACUCGGCUCGAGCACUGUAGAGGCAGAUGGAAUUCCGGGUGUAGCGGUGGAAUGCGUAGAGAUCCGGAAGAACACCGGUGGCGAAGGCGGCCAACUGGACGAAUACUGACGCUGAGACACGAAAGCGUGGGGAGCAAACAGG
rnacentral:rRNA from 1 species